rnacentral:rRNA from 1 species
CGAACUAAACAACGGAUUCCCCUAGUAAUGGCGAAUGAAGCGGGAACAGCUCAAAUUUGAAAUCUCCGUCGCCUGCGACGGCGAAUUGUAGUUUCGAGAAGCACCUUCUCGGCGGGCCCGGAGCCGUCCAAGUUGCUUGGAACAGCACGUCAUAGAAGGGUGACAACCCCGUCUGUGGCGGAGCCGGCCGCUCACGAUGCGCUUUCGACGAGUCGGGUUGUUUGGGAAUGCAGCCCAAAAUGGGUGGUAAACUCCAUCUAAAGCUAAAUAUUGGCACGAGACCGAUAGCGAACAAGUACCGUGAGGGAAAGAUGAAAAGCACUUUGAAAAGAGAGUUAAAAAGUACGUGAAACCGUUAAAAGGGAAACGAAUGGGGUUAGCAAUGCGCUCCGCGAGAUUCAGCCGGCGGACGGGCCCGCCGGGCGGUCUGCGGAUCCGAAUGGACCGCGGCCGUCCGGUCGGGCGCUUCUGCCGUCGCACUUCUCGCGCGCGCGCGCCAACGUCGGUUGGGACUGGGUCUCAAAGGCGUCGGGAAGGGUGGGUCCGGCCCCUCGGGGCCGGACUGUUAUAGACCGGCGUUUUCCAUGGCCCGGGCCCGACCGAGGAGCCCGCGGCGCAUGCCUCUCGUGGGCUGGGGACCCGUCGCGCCGGUCGGYGGUCGACGGCGGUGGACUGCAUGCAGUGCGCCGCGACUGCUGCCGGUCGCCCGCGGCGGUGACCUCACACCAUGCGCCCAGGACGUUGGCGGUCACAUGGCCUCAUCCGACCCGUCUUGAAACACGGACCAAGGAGUCUAACAUGUGCGCGAGUCUUCGAGUGAUCGAAACUCCCAGGCAGAAUGAAAGUGAAGGCGGCCUCGGCCGCUGAGGUGAGAACCCCUCCCCCCGCGGGAGGGGCGCAUCAUCGACCGACCUAUUCUACUCUUAGGAAGGUUGAGUAAGAGCGCAUCCUGUU